rnacentral:misc_RNA from 1 species
AGUGCGGGUCUAUUCAUUUUGUAGUUUUCGUAGAAAAGUCAAAGAGAGGUUUGUAAGAACUGUUUUUUUCCUAUCACUUACGCUUUUGCCUUUUUAGCCAUUCUAUAGAAUGGUUAAAUAGCGGUAUUUUAGUUUUCGUCGACGUUUUGGCGAUUCCUGUUUAUUUUUUAUGAUUCAGCGAGCCACGCUCCUGGGAUGUACACAUUUUCUACCGCCAGAUCAUGUGUUUAUAUUAAACACUGAUUUAUAGAGCGUUAACCCCAAUGCCUUACUUUCGCGGAGACGAGUAAAACUUUUAUGUUCUUGUACGAAUGUGCAACUAAUACGUAGGGUUGGAUUAGGUUGGUAAUCCAUCGAAAUGGAUUUAUGUAAAUUUAGUGUUUCUAUGGUAAUUGAUGGUUUAUUUCGGUUUGCUUCACGAGUUUCAUUGAGAAUCAAAUUGAAAGACUGUAGAGAUUUUGAUGUCAAUUUGUGCUUAACAUUCUAAUGGAAAUGCCAAUUUCUUAUCUAAGAGUGUGUAAAUAUGCCAACGGGAAGAUUAAAUAACUUUGUAUAAUUUUUUGUCAUUUGGCUGGGAGUCCUGAACUGUAAAUAUCCAACUUUAAAAGCGACAAAUAGAUAUCGGUAGAGAAGAAAUAUGUUAUUUCACCUGUUUAUAAGUAAGCCAUUACGUUGACUGAAUAAUUCAGAGCAUUCGGAAUAAUAUUGCCAUAAACUAUGUCUUUAACGACUGUCUAAACAAAUAGUAUCUAAUAAAAAGCCAGGAUGAAGCUGUAAAAACUAAGAGGGGCUUGAAAGCUGACUAGAGCGAAGAAAAAAAGGAAUAGUUUUCUCAAAGCAAUAAAAUUAAUAAAUAAAAUUCUGGUUUACGCCUAAGACCAGUUCUUUAUAACAACAUUAUACUGACAUGUACUCAAAAUAAACUUCUCCCCCCCCUCCCUCCCUCCUACAAUAUUUCUCAACCACUCUCUUUAUUUCUUUCUUCAUCGAAACAAUAACAGACUGAAAAGAAGACAAAAUUGAAAUUGGUUAAGAACAAAUGCACAAACGAAAUAUAAUUCAAAGAGCGAAAAGCAUUGUCCUAGCCUGCAAAUGCGACACUUGACAAACCUAAGUAACAAACGCAGACCCAUUAUUAAUUUGGUGUUACGUUUCAUUGUUUUUACGUUCUAUUUUGUAUUAUAUAGCACGUAAAUAAUUCGUUACCGUGAUAUUAAAAGUGUUAGAUAUUAUUGGCUAACGCAAGAAUCGCCAGCAUCUGGCACAUAAAAGGAAUAAUGGAAAGAAUGUUUUCUAUAAAAUAUGAUUGAUGAUGCCCAAAAUUUUUCGAUAGCCGCACAAUCUCGUUAGAUCGAUUUCCCUGUUGACUAACUUGUCAAAGAUAGUCUGAGUCUUAUUUAAGCGAACUUUAUUUUUAUUUAUUUCUUUUUUUUCAUCUAAAUAGGUUGUUAGAAAGGAAAGACACUUCUGCCUCAAACGAAGAAAGUAAAGUAAGUCUGUUCAUUGCUAUCCUAAAUUAAAUUAUCCCAUAUCAAAAGCGCUAGGUCUAUCUUUUGUACUACAACUAUUACAAAAUAAUAUGGUAAAUCAAUUAAAAUCGUUUUAAUUGAUAGAACGCACCUGCUUUUGACAUCUUCUAAAAUGUAAAAAAUAUAUGCAAAUGAUUCGAUUGUGACAUUUUACCAAAGUAAUUAUUAGAAAUGUCAAGACAAAGUUUGAAGUAAUUGGUCGAUGCUUCCCGUGUUAUCGUCGACAAAACUGUCGUUUUAGGAAAUGAUUAGUAUCAUUCUCUGUACAAAAGUGGAAUAAAUAAUCACCUGUUGCCAAUUCUAUUUCAAUAGCAAUGGUCUUAUUCAGAUUUUUUUAAUUUUGUUCCUAUUUUUAUUAUAUUUUUUCUUUGUUUAUCAAUCAACCAUUUAUCCGAAAAGAAAUUAAAUUAAGCAUGGCGAUCUACUUUCAUCAAAGCGCAAAAGCGAUAGCUCUCAUUAAUUGUUCUCUACCAUUACUUGGGAGCAUCAUUUGUAUAGGUUUAAGCCUAUUGAAAGAUUUUGAAGCGUCUACAGCAACACAUUGCCGAGUAAGGAUCUGGUUUGUUAAGCUGAAAAAAUAAAAUUACCUAUUACGAUAUGCACAGGUACCAAAUUACCUUCCAAGUAUUAGUUCGGCAAUUGGUGGAUUCGCUCCGCAAAAAUAUAUUUGGAGGAUUUGUAUAGGUUUUCAUUCCAUGCAAAGACUGAGUAUAUGCGUGAUGUACUAUGAAUUCUAUCGCUCAAAAAACCUAUUUUCCGAAAGCGCUCCAUAUAGAAUUUUGGCGACGUUGUCGCCGAUUUUGCAUGCCCUAGAGAAUAUCUUUCUCAUGACUUUGUCGAUGAUCUCGUCCACGGAGAAUGCUGGGGUUCACGAGUUUAGUUUUAUUGGAUUCAUGGUGUGUUCCUUGUUCUAUAUGUUAUUUGCAUGCGUCUUGUGCUACGUGACUUCCUCCAAUUCAGAGGGUUGGAAAGAGAAAGUGAGUUCUUUAGUAGUUUUUGAAGAAUAUGCGUUUACGAAAUCUAAGCCUUUUUUAAUGCCAUUUUAAUAAUUUCUAAGUCUUUAUAUGCAACUCUAUUUGUUUUCACUUUUUCGAAAUGGCAUUCGACCGAAUUAAUCGGAAGCGAUCGAGUGUAUACAAAGCUAAAGACGUUUGAUACCCCCUUUUUCUGUCUUUGGCGUAAAAAAUUGAUGAUGCGCUUGACGCUUAGCGUCUUGGUGUUCUCGGACUCAUGAUAUAAAGAAAAAAAAAGAAAUUUCUAGACGACUUAUUUCUUUCAGGAAAAGAAAAAUUUCCUACAAAUAACCGGUUUAUUCUUAUUCAACUUAACGUCCUUUUUGGUUUCUCUCUACUUUUUCUUUAGGCAUAAUGCCUAUUGCGAACCAGGAAGUAGGAAUUUUUUAAAGAAUUAAUUUUUUCCCCCAAAAGCAAAUGAUUUAAAACAAUUUUCUUCCUUUAUUUUUCAGUUUACACAUAUUUCGCGGCUGCUGAAUAUAUAGUCGUUUGGUCCAAUAUCCUAUUUCACGGCGUAAUUUUUCUUGUAUAUUUUCCCAAUGGCAUAUUAACAUUUAAGGUUGAUGAUUCCAAGAAAAUCAAAUAAAUUAAUUACUUUUAAAAGGGAAAGAUUUUUUGCAAAAAAAUUUUUUUUGUACGUCUAAAUAAAUCAAGUAAAAAAAAAAGGGAAUACGAAUUACGUAAAUUUUGAGGUUAUGGAUUUCUGUCAAAUGCAGUUGGCGUUCUUUUAUAGGGAAUCGAUUCGAGUUUUUUUUAAGUAGGCCUAGCGUUGAUUUACGGUUAGAAAUCUUUUUGUCUAUAUCGAUCCAAUAUCCUCCUAAAUUUUUCUGUUUGCGUUUAUUUUCUCUAAAAAAAGUUUCAGUGCAACGACAAGAUGCAAAAACAAGCGUGAGUUUUAAAAAGAAAAUCAAAAAAUAUAUAGGAUGGAAAGCGUCGAAAACGAUGCUAUAAAACCGGAAACGGAUGGAAAUGACUCCAGAAAAAUAGACGAAACCAUGGCUGUCGCUAAGGCAGAAAUGGGAUGGGGCAAAUAUAGACCCCAGUGUUUGCAAAAGUGUGCAUCUAUAAAAAUUUUUAUAGCUUGUACAAGUAUGUUGGCAAUGUUCUCAUCGGCUCUCACAGCCGGCUACAAUUCGGCCGUUUUGACAACAAUUGAGACGCGUUUUGAUGUCUCAUCUUCUAAGGCAUCUCUAUUAACGGCCGCUUACGAAACUGCAGCAGUAGGAUUCUUGAGUAUAGUUAGUUUCUUAGGUGCAAAGCGUCAUAUACCAUUCUGGAUCGCAUCUGGAGUACUUAUAAUGGCUUGUGGUUCAUUUGUUAUGGUAACUCCACAUUUGUUUGUUAAACCUUAUUCCUUAAGAUACAGUUUGGACAACGUUACAGAAGAGAAUUUUUGUAAUCCGAUUAAAAAGGUUCUAAGUGACGUAAUCGACAAAGGGAGGUGCGAUAAAUUCGAUAGUAGCAUAUUUGCCAUCGCAGUUCUUUGUUGUGCCCAAAUGAUGAUGGGUAUUGGAUCAACUCCUAUUCUUACACUUGGUCCAUUAUACAUAGACAAUCAUGUGUCAAAAGAUAGGGCUCCUAGUUUCAUAAGUUUCCUGUACGCAUUUGGAAGUGUCGGUCCAGUAAUCGGCUUUGCAGUUGGCUCUUUAGUGUUAACAUUCCAUGUUGACUUUCUAUCAGCUGACACUAAACAGUUGAAUAUGCAUUCAACGGACUCCCAGUGGGUUGGAGCUUGGUGGGGAGGUUAUUUGAUUUUAGGAGGUCUCCUUAUUUGCCUAACUAUACCUAUGUAUAGUUUCCCAAAAAUGCUAAGCCGGCGAGAGAUAGAUACAGAAAGUGAAGAGAAAGGUAAAGGAGAACUUGAAGAGCCUCUUAACGAGAGCACUGGAGGAAAAGAUGAAGAUAAUGAUGGAGCAUCGUACGGAACUAGCUUAAGACAGCUUCCGAGAGCUGUUUUAUCUAUUGUGAAAAAUGCUCUUUUCAUGGUGACAACUAUAGGAAUAACAACGGAAAUUUUUGUCGUUAUAGGAUUUAUUCAAUUCACACCUAAAUACAUGGAAAACCAAUUUCUUUUGAGUCAAUCGCAAGCAAAUCUCUUAACUGGGUUAAUACCUGUUCCCGGGUGUAUGUUUGGUAUUCUAAUAGGAGGGUACAUUCUCCGGAGGUUUCAAUUGCAAGCAAAAGGCGCCAUCCAACUCACUCUAGCUGUCAAUAUCGUUAUCUUAAUGGGCUUUCUUGUUCUUUUUACGUUAGGCUGCGAUAAUCCGAAUUUAGCUGGCAUAACAUCUCGAUAUUUUCAAAGCAACUCGUCUGAUUUCACGCAAAAUUUACCAAACUUGACUGCUUCUUGCAAUGAUCAUUGUAGGUGCUCCGAUAAUCAUCUUAAUUUUGUCUGUGGAGCAAAUGGUUUAACGUAUUUUUCACCGUGUCAUGCUGGAUGUAAAUUCAACUACACCGAUUGUGAAUGUGUUAUAAAGGAUCUUAAUCAUAAAGGACAUCAAUUAAGUAAUUUAACAGCAUUGGUCCAGGAUAGUCCCUGUAAAAGACAAUGCAGCAGUUUUCCUGUAUAUGUGAUCAUGCUGUUUGGUUUGACUUUACUGGUCGGUAUCACUCAAAUGCCAUUGCUGAUGAUCUCUCUAAGAAGUGUUAAAGAUGCUGAACGUUCACUCGCAUUAGGCGUUCAAUUGAUAUUUUUGCGUUUGUUAGGAAAUGUACCUUCUCCGCUAGCAUUUGCCGGCCUAAUUGACAGGUCUUGUUUAAAGUGGAGGGGAGCCUGUGGUUCAUGGGGAAAGUGCCUUUUUUACGAUAAUUUGCAUUUUCGAAAAAAUUAUAUUGGUUUGGGAGGAGUUGUCAAAGGUUUUGGAUUUUUAGUUUACUGGUGUGUUUGGGGAUUAAUAAUCUGGAAAAAUAAACGGGAACAAAAGGAACAUUUGAAACUGGAAAGGCAACAAGCGGGUGAAGAAGCUAUUGCAUUUAAAGGAACAAGCGAAUUUAAGUGUAUAGAGCAGGAACAAGAUACAAAAAUGUAACAAAGCAAAAAAAGAAAAAUUUCAUAAUGCUCUCUGAAACAUUUUUCUCUGUUAUUUUUGAUAAGAUGAACAACCUUACUCAUGACACAUAAUGUGUUCUUUCCAUCCCUUCCCAACGUCAGGUGUUCUGAUUAAAGCAAAAAAAUGAGAGAACAUAUUUUUUUUAAUGAUAUAAUUAUUAUCUACUGUCUGUUAUUCGCCAAAUCUCGAAAAAAUGGUUGUGAAACUUGUGCUGUGUUAAAAAUUAUUUUGCUAUUCCUUUUGUUUUCUUGCAGCUGAAUCUGUCGUUUCAAAUUUGUGAAAAAAGCGAAAAAUGUAUUUUAAAAUUCUUGCUUAUGUCUUCAUUUUUGACUUAAAUAAACACGGAUCUAAGGGAAA